UCUCAGGACCUCGAUUGUUCCAGAACCUC
rnacentral:piRNA from 1 species